AACCUCCGCAAUGUGAGAAAUCGCGACGGGGGGAUCCCAAGUGCCAUUCUUAACGGGAUGGCUUUUCAUUAGUGUAAAAAGCUUUUGGAAUAAGAGCUGGGCAAGACCGGUGCCAGCCGCCGCGGUAACACCGGCAGCUCUAGUGGUAGCAAUUUUUAUUGGGCCUAAAGCGUCCGUAGCCGGUUUAAUAAGUCUCUGGUGAAAUCCUGUAGCUUAACUGUGGGAAUUGCUGGAGAUACUAUUAGACUUGAGACCGGGAGAGGUUAGAGGUACUCCCAGGGUAGAGGUGAAAUUCUGUAAUCCUGGGAGGACCGCCUGUUGCGAAGGCGUCUAACUGGAACGGUUCUGACGGUGAGGGACGAAAGUUAGGGGCGCGAACCGGAUUAGAUACCCGGGUAGUCCUAACUGUAAACGAUGCGGACUUGGUGUUGGGGCGGCUUUGAGCUGCUCCAGUGCCGAAGGGAAGCUGUUAAGUCCGCCGCCUGGGAAGUACGGUCGCAAGACUGAAACUUAAAGGAAUU
rnacentral:rRNA from 1 species